rnacentral:lncRNA from 1 species
GGAAAAAUUUUUUUACUGAUGCAGGUUUUACCGGCUACAAAAUCAUACCGGCAUUAGGCGUGCGUUCAGUUAUCGUGGCUUAUUAUUGAAUAAUGGAUAGAUAAGUGAAGUCAUCUACUAGUGGGCAUGAAGUGAUCACUUUGCUGCUUCCUUCAAGUUUAAUCUUAGAUCUUCAUUAUGUAACGCAUCAAUUAUCCUAUAGUCUUGUCGGUUACCUCAUGUAGUAGAAUCGGUGUGAUGUUUGUAUUGGUCUUCGUCGAGUUUGUGAUCUAUUAUGUAACGUAUUAAUUAUCCUAUAGUCUUAUCGGUUACCUCAUGUAGUAGAAUCAGUGUGAUGUUUGCAUUGGUCUUCGUUGAGUUUGUGAUCUAUCUGUCAUGCUAAGUUGGUUGGCCUUGUCAAAGCUGAAAGAAUAAAAAGUACUCUUCAUUUGCCUCUCUAGAGAUAUUUUGCUAUGUACUAAGAGUUGGAAUCAUUUUAGAGAAUGUUAAUUUGGUCG